AGUGAACGCUGGCGGUAGGCCUAACACAUGCAAGUCGAACGGCAGCACAGGAGAGCUUGCUCUCUGGGUGGCGAGUGGCGGACGGGUGAGGAAUACAUCGGAAUCUGCCCGGUCGUGGGGGAUAACGUAGGGAAACUUACGCUAAUACCGCAUACGACCUUCGGGUGAAAGAGGGGGAUCGCAAGACCUCUCGCGAUUGGAUGAGCCGAUGUCGGAUUAGCUAGUUGGCGGGGUAAUGGCCCACCAAGGCGACGAUCCGUAGCUGGUCUGAGAGGAUGAUCAGCCACACUGGAACUGAGACACGGUCCAGACUCCUACGGGAGGCAGCAGUGGGGAAUAUUGGACAAUGGGCGCAAGCCUGAUCCAGCCAUACCGCAUGGGUGAAGAAGGCCUUCGGGUUGUAAAGCCCUUUUGUUGGGAAAGAAAUCUUUCAGGCUAAUACCCUGGGAGGAUGACGGUACCCAAAGAAUAAGCACCGGCUAACUUCGUG
rnacentral:rRNA from 1 species